rnacentral:rRNA from 1 species
UACGUAGGGAGCAAGCGUUGUCCGGAAUCAUUGGGCGUAAAGCGCGCGUAGGUGGCCACAUAAGUCCGUUGUGAAAGUCAAAGGCUCAACCUUUGAAAGCCGAUGGAUACUGUGUGGCUAGAGUACGGAAGAGGCGAGUGGAAUUCCUGGUGUAGCGGUGGAAUGCGCAGAUAUCAGGAGGAACACCAAUAGCGAAGGCAGCUCGCUGGGACGUUACUGACACUGAGGCGCGAAAGCCAGGGAGCGAACGGG